rnacentral:rRNA from 1 species
UACGGGGGGAGCAAGCGUUGUUCGGAAUUACUGGGCGUAAAGGGCUCGUAGGUGGCCAACUAAGUCAGACGUGAAAUCCCUCGGCUUAACCGGGGAACUGCGUCUGAUACUGGAUGGCUCGAGUUUGGGAGAGGGACGCGGAAUUCCAGGUGUAGCGGUGAAAUGCGUAGAUAUCUGGAGGAACACCGGUGGCGAAGGCGGCGUCCUGGACCAACACUGACACUGAGGAGCGAAAGCCAGGGGAGCAAACGGG